rnacentral:rRNA from 1 species
AGUGAACGCUGGCGGUAGGCCUAACACAUGCAAGUCGAACGGCAGCACAGUAAGAGCUUGCUCUUACGGGUGGCGAGUGGCGGAUGGGUGAGGAAUACAUCGGAAUCUACUUUUUCGUGGGGGAUAACGUAGGGAAACUUACGCUAAUACCGCAUACGACCUACGGGUGAAAGCAGGGGAUCUUCGGACCUUGCGCGAUUGAAUGAGCCGAUGUCGGAUUAGCUAGUUGGCGGGGUAAAGGCCCACCAAGGCGACGAUCCGUAGCUGGUCUGAGAGGAUGAUCAGCCACACUGGAACUGAGACACGGUCCAGACUCCUACGGGAGGCAGCAGUGGGGAAUAUUGGACAAUGGGCGCAAGCCUGAUCCAGCCAUACCGCGUGGGUGAAGAAGGCCUUCGGGUUGUAAAGCCCUUUUGUUGGGAAAGAAAAGCAGCAGGUUAAUACCCCGCUGUUCUGACGGUGCCCAAAGAAUAAGCACCGGCUAACUUCGUG